CCUGUGAUCUGCAGGUCCGGAGAGACGCACAGCUAAGAUGUCAGGACAUCCUGGAAGCUGGGAAAGGGUCUUGCCAUCUCUAAGCUGGACCUGGUGACCUUUUUGGAGGGAAAGAAAGAGCCCUGGACUGUGAAGAGUGAGGAGACCAUAGCUGCACAGCCAGAGAUGGGGUUCCAUCAUGUUUUCCAGGCUGAUCUCAAACUCCCACGGUCAAGCGAUCUGCUGGCCUCGGCCUCUCAAGAUGUAUAAUCUCAUCCCUGAACAUUUCUGAUGGUGUGAUUAUGACAUGUGACUUUAUCUGGCAACAGAGUGAGUUGUUGCUCCCGCCUGAGCCCAGCCCCCAGAAAGGAUUGUGACAUAUCGUUGGACCCAGAAUUGAGGUGGAAUUGUGACAUAUAACUUGGCCAAGCACACAGAUGUAAUGGUGUGGUGACUCUCAUACCUAGAACUGGGACCUGUGCAGGAUUGUUAAUUCAUUACUGGACAUUCCUGUGGGUGUGAUUGUUACAUAUGCCUAUGUUCAGCACCCGAGUGAUUUGAUUUUGCUGCCUGGUCUCAGUCCAAAUGUAAGAUUGUGAUUUAUCGCUGAAUCCAGCACCUCGGUGAUUUGACUCUCCCUUUUUUUGUGGGAGGGAUCCUGCAAAUUUUGGGUAUUGUCAAUUAUUGCUGAAUCCUGUACCCAUGUUAUGACUCUCCCAAAUGUGCCUUACCUGUUGUGGCACAAUAUAUCACAUUAGACAUUGUUAAAUAUUGUUGGGUUCAACACCUGGGUGAUGGAUGUAACUUUUUUUCUGGGCCUGCCUACAGGGGACCUUGUGACAUAACUCAAUGCCCAUCAUCAUGGUAAUGUUACUCUCUUCUCCUGCCUGAUCUCUGCUCACAGAGAAAUUGUGACACAUCACUGGCCUAGCAUCUAGGUGAUGUGACUCUCCUCUUUUUUUCAGGCUCUGCAUAUUUGGGUAUUGUGACAUAUUGCUGAACUCAACACCUAAGGGAUGGGAGUCUCCUACCUAGGCCCUUCCUACAGGGGACAUUGUGACAUGUCUCUGCAUUCCUCAUCCAGGAGAUGUGACUCUCCUUUUCUGCCUACACCCUGCCUACACAGAAAGUUGUGGCAUAUUGCUGUGGUCAGCAACCAGAUGAUAUAUUUCUCCUGCCUGGGUCUUUAUUACAGGAAAGAUGAUUGACAUAUUACUGGGCCCAGCAUCCAGAUGAUGUGACUCUCUUCUUCUGUUGGUCCUUGCUUACAGGGAAACUGUAGCAUAUUGCUACACCCAACACCUAGCUUAUGUGAUUCUUCUUUUAGGUUUGCCUUCAGGGAACAUUGUGACAUAUUGCUGGGCCCUGCACUGAUAAUUUGUGACUCUUCUGCCUGUGAUUUGCCCACUUGGGGCAUUGUGACAUAUUGCUGGGUUUAACACUCAGGUGAUGUAACUUUUAUGCCUAGGCCUUGCUUACAGGAGGCAUUUUGAAAUGUCUUUGUGGCUGGGCAUGGUGGCUCAUGUCUGUAAUCCCAGCGCUUGGGGAGGCCAAGGUGGGCAGAUCACAAAGUCAGGAGUUCGAGACCAGCCUGGUCAACAUGGUGAAAACCUGUCUCUACUAAAACAAAACAAAACAAAACAAAACAAAACAAAA
ensembl:lncRNA novel transcript